rnacentral:rRNA from 1 species
UGUUCCCCUGAUGAGAGGUUCCGGAGCUAACGCGUUAAGUCGACCCCUGGGGAGUACGGCCGCAAGGUUAAAACUCAAAUGAAUGCCCGGGGCCCCGCACAAGCGGUGGAGCAUGUGGUUUAAUUUGAUGCAACGCGAAAACCCUUCCUACCUCUUGACAUCCAGAGACGUUAGCAGAGAUUCUUUGGAGCCUUGGGGAACUCUGGGACAGGUGCAGCAUGGCUGUGUUCUCUUAUAGGGGCGAAAUGUUGAGAAAAAUCCCGCAGCGGGCGCACCCCUUUUCUUUUUUUGCCAGCCGUUCAGCCGGGAACUCAAAAGAGACUGCCAGUGACAAACUGGAGGAAGGGGGGGAUGACGUCAAGUCAUCAUGGCCCUUACGGGUAGGGCUACCCCCUCAUACAAUGGCCAUACAAAGAGAAACCCCCGCGGGAGAGCACCCCCCCCUCUAAAGUAUGUCGUGGUCCGGAUCGGAGUCUCAACUAGACGCGUGAGUUUGGAAUCGCUAAUAAUCGGGGAUCAGAAUCCCCGGUAAUACGUUCCCGGUCCUUCUAGGACCCCCCUCCACCAUGAAGUGUCCCCCUUACCCUUUUUAUUUCCCUUCGGGAGGGCGCUUACCCCCUUUGGGAUUCAGCACGGGGGGGGAAGUCGAUACCAAAGGCCGCAGCCC